GCCCAGGUAGCUCAGUCGGUAGAGCAGAGGACUGAAAAUCCUCGUGUCGGUGGUUCGAUUCCGCCUCUGGGCACCA
rnacentral:tRNA from 3 species